GACAGAGGGUGCAAACGUUGUUCGGAAUUACUGGGCGUAAAGCGCGUGUAGGUGGCAAGGCAAGUCGGGUGUGAAAGCCCUGGGCUCAACCCAGGAAGUGCACUCGAUACUGCCUCGCUAGAGUCCCGGAGAGGUUGGUGGAACUCUCGGUGUAGAGGUGAAAUUCGUAGAUAUCGAGAAGAACACCGGUGGCGAAGGCGGCCAACUGGACGGUGACUGACACUGAGACGCGAAAGCGUGGGGAGCAAACAGGGAUUAAGAAACCCUGGUA
rnacentral:rRNA from 1 species